rnacentral:rRNA from 1 species
UUCCGGUUGAUCCUGCCGGAGGCCAUUGCUAUUGGAGUCCGAUUUAGCCAUGCUAGUUGCACGAGUUCAGACUCGUAGCAGAUAGCUCAGUAACACGUGGCCAAACUACCCUCUGGAGCACGAUAACCUCGGGAAACUGAGGCUAAUAGUGCAUACGGCUCGCCGCCUGGAGUGGCGCGAGCCGGAAAGGCUCCGGCGCCAGAGGAUGUGGCUGCGGCCGAUUAGGUAGACGGUGGGGUAACGGCCCACCGUGCCAAUAAUCGGUACGGGUUGUGAGAGCAAGAGCCCGGAGACGGUAUCUGAGACAAGAUACCGGGCCCUACGGGGCGCAGCAGGCGCGAAACCUUUACACUGCACGCCAGUGCGAUAAGGGGACUCCAAGUGCGAGGGCAUAACGUCCUCGCUUUUCUCGACCGUAAGGUGGUCGAGGAAUAAGGGCUGGGCAAGACCGGUGCCAGCCGCCGCGGUAAUACCGGCAGCCCGAGUGAUGGCCGCUCUUAUUGGGCCUAAAGCGUCCGUAGCUGGCCGCGCAAGUCCAUCGGGAAAUCUGCCCGCUUAACGGGCAGGCGUCCGGUGGAAACUGUGCGGCUUGGGACCGGAAGACCAGAGGGGUACGUCCGGGGUAGGAGUGAAAUCCCGUAAUCCUGGACGGACCACCGGUGGCGAAAGCGCCUCUGGAAGACGGAUCCGACGGUGAGGGACGAAAGCUCGGGUCACGAACCGGAUUAGAUACCCGGGUAGUCCGAGCUGUAAACGAUGUCUGCUAGGUGUGGCACAGGCUACGAGCCUGUGCUGUGCCGUAGGGAAGCCGUGAAGCAGACCGCCUGGGAAGUACGUCCGCAAGGAUGAAACUUAAAGGAAUUGGCGGCGGAGCACAAGGGCGAAUGGGCGUCCGCUACAU